UCUUAUCUAGUUUGGUGGCUGUAUAUGUA
rnacentral:piRNA from 1 species